AUCGUACUUUACUAUAUGACUAACUUCACAGUAUGGAUGUAUAGGACAGACAAUGGUGAAUUAAUAAGAGUUUUUUACAGCUUUAUUGUUACUUAAUUUUGCCUAAAUUUUAUAAUUUAUACCUCAUUAAAAAAGGUUCGUUUUGGGGUCAUAUGUCCAACUGCUUCCAAAAUUUGCCUCGAAAGAAGUGGAAUAUUUCCCAACAUAAACAGCAAUAAUGGCAACGGUAGUGAGGACAACACAAAGCGAAGAAACAUUGACCACAACAGUCUCACAGGAGCCAUCGAGCCCAAGCGUCGUUUUGAAACUUCGCAAAACUCAGUCUGACCAAAAAGUUCGAUGGACAGAGGAAACGAUUGACAAUGAACACAUGGAAAAGAAAUCUUCCAAAUGUUGUUGUAUUUAUGAAAAACCUCGGAUAUUUGGGAGGACUCGUCGUCAGAUGAUAAUUCUAGCGAUAGUGAUGACAAUGCUUACGAGAAGAAAACGAAAAAAGAGAGAGCGCAGAAGAAACGAUCGAAACAACAUGAUUGUAAUGAUCACGAUCACAGCCAGCAUUCUUCUGAUCUGCCAGGGCCACCCACAUGACACAAUAGUCUCAUCCUUUUAACUUUUAUACAAAUAUAUUUUUAUUUUAUUUUAAAUAAUUUGCUCAAAGCAAGGCGCUCACCCAGAACUGCAGAAGUUCUGAGGGAAGUUACAGACGACCCCUAAAGUGCCAAGAGCUACUGAGAUGAUAAAGGAUUAUAGCAAAGUCAUAUUAUAGUUUGAAUUCAUCGCUCAGAAACACUGAUUGGCGCUCCAGAAGUGUGUGUACCAAUAUGGAGGUAACUAAUUUUGUUCGCCUAUUUUACAUCAAGUUGUGCAAAAGGACUGAAACCUAUGGGCAGGGGGUAUAUUCACUUGACUAAUACAGACAGUUCCCGAACUCACAAUAGAAUGAAAAUCGGAAUAAAGUUAUGGCCUAACCCUAACCAGGUACACAUACUACGGGAGUACUCACUGGUUGAGGCAAGACAUGGUCAGUUCAUGACGAUCAGUUCAAAAAACUGAGAAAAUGUUUUUACGUACAAAUAUUUCAAAUUUGCACAUUUCUAGUUUGAAUCUUGUUCCACUUCACCCAGGUAUUGAUUUGCACAUGAGAGAAUUUCUUACGUUUACCGUUUUUCCAAAUAGGAAGUUGUUCCAACCAUACCAUUAGAUGCCGGUGGCCGCUUGUAAAAAUAGGGCGAUAGCAUUAUAACCAUGCACGAGAGUUGGUACUGUCGAAGUAUGUGAACCAAGAUGACGGACAUCAGAACGUAGUAUGUGUACCAGGUUAGGGUUAGGCCAUAAUCUCAGGCACAAAUACUACGGGAGUCAUUUGGCUAGUCCCUGAACGAAUAUAGAAAAUUGGAAUAAAAUUAUGGCCCAAACUGGUACGUCCUGGUGUCCGCCACCUUGGGUUCACAUACUUCAGGAGUACCUGAGUUUUUACUGGAGCCGUAGUCUCAUUUUUUACCUCCUCAAGUCUACAAUUUUUAUUUUUAUGUAUUCAUAAUAGCGACCCCAUAGGUGUUCGAAAAUCAUAAUACAAACCGUCUUAGGGCACUUUAGGGUCGAAAAAGUCUACAUGGUGAAAAAUCUAUAAGCCCCAUAUUCUAACAGAUGACCUGUGGAUACAUCUUUUUUAUUUUCUGAUUGUCAAUUGUAAAACACUUACCGUACUUGUAUUUUAAAUUAAACUUGAAUUUCAAAAAA